rnacentral:sRNA from 1 species
GUGGGGAGCCGGUCUUGGAGCAGCGGGUGAGUUUCCCUUUGUCUAGAUUAGAUCCGCUUCCAGCGCUUCUGUACCUGGUGUUGGCGGAGGGGUUCUUACGGAUCUUAAAAUCCUCCCGCCGUUCCCUCCAUCCUAGGUAUAUUAAUACGUCGCCAAGAAAUUCGGAGGUUAAAAUCGCUUGGAGGCUGCUGGUCCUUUCCCUAAGCUCUCUGCCUUCGGGCCACGUAGACGCUUUUCGUCCCGUUUACCUGCUUAAAACCCUUUACUGACCACUCUUUCGGUCCCGCGUCAUGUAAAAGCCCUCACCCAUGAGGUGUAUUCAUGCCCAGUGGGUCCUCCAAGCCUCGCCCUUCUGGCCUCUUGGAGCUCGGUCCCGCAGUCUCGAUGCAUCAGCGCCGUGUCCUCUGCCCGGCCCUGGGAUUUUGGAAACCCCACCCCUCUCCUAAUCCACCCCCAACCUUGUCCUCCUUGGGCUGGGCCCUUCUGUUCCCCAGGUUUCCCCUUCACAACCCACAUUCCUUACCCCGCAUUGAGGGAGGUGACGGGGCCUGGCUUUUGACACUCAAGUGUUUUUCCGUUCCAAAUUGCACCCGCUGGAAAAUGUGCUCUUCCAGAGGAAAAACGAUUGAUUGAUUCUUUCCUCCUCUGAAACUCAACACGGUAGUAAACACUGAACCCAGAAUACUUCACCUGUGGUCACCGAAUGUGUGGGGAUUUCUCCCCACUAACAAGCAGUUCUCCAUCAGACAUCAACUCGGUGUCCCAUAAUUUACCUCACUUCUGACAGCUGUACCUGGGGUAAGCAUCGGAUCCCACAGAUUAAAGGCUCAGUCCACAAGACUUCUCCACUUCAGAUGUCGGUUACAAGUCCCAGAUUGGAACCUGAACUUCUAAGCUACUGGAUAUAAAUUGAGGAUUCCCAUGACCCAGUCUUCAGUAUUUAUUAAUUUGCCAGAGUAGCUCACAGAACUCAGAAACGUAUUAGUUGGGUUUACUCAUUUGUUUUAAAGGAUAUUACAAAGGUUGCAGAUAGACAGAUAGAAUAGCAGUUCUAGAAAAUUAGUUGAAUGCAGGAAAGGAUUUGGGAACCAUGGUGUUUAUCUGGUCAGUCGGAAGUAGAGGUGAAAACUACUACUUGUGUACAGCUUCUAAGGUGGAGGGUAGUCUUGUGGGACUGAGCUUUUCACCUAUAGGAUCUGACACUAUCUCCUUGUAGAUAGUGUAAGAAUUGAGUUAAAUUUUAGGAUUCCCAGGUGGAAGUCUGCAAGGAACGGGUCAGUGUAGGGAAACCACACAUUUUCUUGACCAGAAGUAAAGUAUCCUGUGUUGAGCACGAGAGCAAUGAAAACAGUUUGGUUUUUUCCUGUCUCAGUGAAGGGAAGAUAUUUGUAACAGGCUCACUUACCUGUCUCAAGCCCCGUGCUUUCUACUCAGUAUUGACUGGGAAGGAUCUGUCCCUGUUCUUUGUUUUAAUUUUCUUGAUGUCAUCUUCAUCUCUUACCGUUUUUCUCUGCUGAUGUGUCCUGACUCACUGUUUUCUGAAUGUGGGAGUGACCCACAGCUUAGUCCUCCAACCACUUUUCCUCUCUGUCCACGUCUACUGCCUUUCUAUCCUUUUUUUUUUUUUUUUUUGAGAUGGACUUUUGCUCUUGUUGUCCAGGCUGGAUUGCAAUGGUGUGAUCUUGGCUCACCGCAACCUCUGCCUGCCAGGUUCAAACGAUUCUCCUGCCUCAACCUCCCAAGUAGCUGGGAUUAUAGGCAUGUGCUACCACACCCAGCAACUUUUGUGUUUUUAGUAGAGAUGGAUUCUCCAUGUUGGUCAGGCUGGUCUCGAACUCCUGACCUCGUGAUCCACCGACCUCGUGAUCCACCCACCUCGGCCUCCCAAAGUGCUGGGAUUACAGGCGUGAGCCACCACGCCCAGCCACUGCCUUUCUUUAUCAUUUCAUCUCAUGGUUUUAAACCCCACCUUUACGUCUCCAUCCCUCAUAGACUUCUCUGCUAAUUUCUAGAAUUCUGUGUCCAGUUGUCUCCUCAACUUUCUUCUGGGACAUCCAACAGGCAUCUCCAUAUUUACGUGUCCACUAGUGACUUCCUGAGUUCUCCGAUGUACGCUCCCCUGCAGUCCUACCCAUCUCAGAUAAGGGUGACCCCAUACUUCUGGGAGCAUAGGUGAACAUAUUGGCAUAUAUUUAAAAUCUAGGACAUAGUUCCUUGUUUGAAAGUGUUUUAAGGAAUAAUAUAAAGAAAAAAUUACAUUAUUGCUUAAAAUGGGUGAGGAACUAGCAUUUCCAAAAUUCUUUUGAGUUGAGGGAGAAAAAUGUUUAAAGCCUCCACCCUAUCUGAUCUGCGCCCCAGGACCUCUCUGACCUCAUCCCCUGCCUGUGUCGGCCUUGCUCCCUCUGCUGCAGCUACGCAGACCUCAUUCCUUUUCCUGGAGCUGAGGUUGCUCCUGUCUCAGGGCCUUCACCUGGGCUGUCCCUCUGCCUAGGACUCUUUAGCCCCUCAGUUGCAGGUGACAAACAUCCUUCCUUUUCUAGGCCUGGGUUCUGAUAUCACCUUCUCAGUGAAGGUUUAUGUGACCCUGUCACAACCUCACCUGCUCUGGCCCAUAUUGCCUCCCCUAGAUGUUUCUUUCUGCUCCUUUGCUGUCCACUGUCUGGAUCCUGGUGACAACAAGGACCCAAGGGGAGACCAGAGCCAGAAGGUAGGGGUUGUUCUGGGCUUGCUCCCUCUGAGUUUGGCUCAACCCUGGAUUCGCAUUAGAAUGCUGAGACAUUUUGCAAAUAUAUCUCUUGUGCCUCCUUUCCAGAGAUUCCCAUGCAUUUAGGUUCAAGCGCAGUGUCCCACAUGAUUCUAAUCUGUAGUCAUUGAACAUCAGGGUGCUGUGUCUUCCAUUUCUGAAAGCUGAUAUCAGCCUGUGAUCCACAGAGAGGGGAGAGGCUGUGCUCUGCAUGGGGUUUGGUCAGGGCCAGAUCUGUGCCCUGAAGGGGAGCUCAGUCCAGCCCAGCACCCCACAGCUGCAGCAUGUAUGUGGGCUUCUCCAGGAGGGGAGUAAGCUUUGAAGAACUCAAAAACUGACUUGUUCUUCCUGUAGGACUUUCUUGUCUGCAUCAUCCCUGGUGCUGUGGGCAGCAGAGGGCCAUCUUUCCACAGGGCGAGGUCUUUCCUGUGUGUGUGGUUGUGGCACAGGGAGGGGGUGUGUUGAUUUUGAGCAGUAAACAGCAUAUUUUGAACACUCAGGAUUAACUUGUUUUUUAAAAAGUUUUCUUUUUCUUUUUCUUUCAGGAUUAGCUUCUAAAGUCUCUUUCAUCUCUCCUAAGGAAGAAGCCUAGAAGAGGAGGAAGAGGAAAGAAAAGGAGUCAGGAAUGCCUCUUAGGUACAGUGAUAUUCUCAGUGGACUGUUCUGUGUCUCCUUCCUUUCUGAAAUGCCAUGUGUGGUGUUAUGAUAUAUAUUGGUUUCCAUCGACGGUUCCUGGCUUAUAACCUCCAUAGCCCUUGUUACAAUCUUUUGUUGUAAUGUUGGAUGUGUUAAGCCUCAGGGGUAGGCCUCUGACCUUCUUUUGCCUUCUUUCACUGUGAUGCUCCCCAGCCUUUCUAAUUGUGGGUCUUAAGACCCUCCUCCGAGAGCUUCCCACCCUGUACCCUGGGGGGAAGAAUGUUGAUGUCAUGAAACUUCCAUAAAAACCCAAAAGGGCAAAGUUCGAUGAGCUUCUGGAUGGCUGAACACGUGGAGGUUCUUGGAGGUGGUAAGCCCAGGGGCGUCAUGGAAGCCCUGCACUCCUUCCUCCAUACCCUGCUGUAGGUGCCUCUUCAUCUGUAUCCUUUGCAGUAUCCUUUAUAAUAAACUGGUAAAGGUAAGUAAGUGCUUCCCUGAGUUCUGUGAGCCAGUCUAGCAAAUUAAUUGAAGAGGGGGUCGUGUGAACCCCAAUUUGAAGCUGGGUGGUCAUAAGUUCUGAAGGCCUGGACUUGCGACUGAUGUGUAUGGAGGCAGUCUUGGAGACUGAGCCGUCAACUCGUGGGAUCUGACACUGUCUCCAGUCUUAAUGUACACAGUAGACAGUGUUGGAAUUAAAUUGGAAGAUACCCAGCUAGUGUCUGCUGCUUGGUGUGUGGGGAAAGUACCCACAUACAUUUAGUCACAGAGGUCUUCUAUGUUGAUGAUUGUUGUGGUGUGAGAGUAGAGGAAAAGCACAAUUUGAGGAGAGCUUUUCCCUGUACACAUCAGGCAUUGGAGAUGUCAGUCUUCUCUGAGUCUGAAGCAUCCUGCCUGUGAUGUUUGCUCACACUCACCCAUGUCUUCCCUCAGUCCCUCUGAUGUCACUUAAAUUCCAUCUCACAGUGACUGGUGCUGUGGAAUUUGUGAAGAGGCUCCAUUGGGAAGGGCUUAUACCCAGACAUGGAUGGAGACGGGGUGUGGGCCCCAUGGUGUCACUGCUCUCGGGCAGCAGGAAUUGAAGGAUUGUUUAAGGGCCGGGUCUGGAGGCACUGCCAGCUCUGUAGACUGGAUUAUGGAAGCUGCUCGUGGAAGUCUUAAUGUGCACAACUGCCUGAUAAAAUUUGGAAGAAGAGAUUAGGAAGAGGAAAUCUUUUCUGCCUGAUUUUAUACUCCAUUUGUAGUAAAUAUUUAACAGCAAGAGAUUCUUUAAACCAUUCUAAGUACAUCCAUCCUAUGGAGAUUGUGGUAUUCCUGCAGAGACUCUUGUGAAACAGAUGUUUCAGGUGAAAAUGGUAAGACUUGGGUAAUACUUCUUCUAGGAUGGGGCAUUUCCUAUUUUCUUAGAUCUCGCAAGGUUCCCCUGUUAUCCCCAGCUGCAGGGGUACCUCUCCUAUCAAGAACAUGUGAAAUUUUGCCCUCAUUAAAAAAAAAACCAACAACUUGCUACUACUAUGUUUAUAUAUAUAUAUUUUGAAAAUCUGGGAAAAAUGACAACCGUCUGUAUUUUCAUUUUUCAAUUUAUUGUCAGUCUACAUAGGUUUUAUUAUUUUGGGGACGUGUAUAUACAAAAUGAAUUUUCAUGCUUUGCUCAAUUUUCUUUCCAUGUAUUUUAGUAUCUGUUUUAAUUUCUGUGGUUUUUAUUCCUUACAUAUGCCCUGAUGUCUUUUAUUUUAGGUUAUACAUUUUUUAAUUGUAAGACAAAUCUUUCAUUUAUACCUUCUGAUUUUUGUUGUGCCUUUGUUUGUUUCAUCUUGAUUUGGAAGGCCUUGCAUGAUUAUGAAGUACUAAGUUUCAUUUAGGAAUAAAGUUUUGUUGUUUAAAAUUUU